UCACCGAUGGAUGAAUGUCAC
rnacentral:miRNA from 1 species